UACAGAGGGGGCAAGCGUUGUUCGGAAUUACUGGGCGUAAAGGGCGCGUAGGCGGCCACGUAAGUCAGACGUGAAAUCCCUCGGCUUAACCGGGGAACUGCGUCUGAUACUGGAUGGCUUGAGUUCGGGAGAGGGAUGCGGAAUUCCAGGUGUAGCGGUGAAAUGCGUAGAUAUCUGGAGGAACACCGGUGGCGAAGGCGGCAUCCUGGACCGAUACUGACGCUGAGGAGCGAAAGCGUGGGGAGCGAACAGG
rnacentral:rRNA from 1 species